AUUCUCUGCGCAAUGACCACAGGACAUUUGCAAGAUGCAAAAGCCAUGCUUCCUCCAACUUUUCCUCUUGCCCUGAGAGCAGGCAGACACCCAGAGUUUGAACCAAGCGCCUACCUACCUAUGCUGAGGGAGGACACACCAACCCAUCCAGUUGUGCACUCACAGAAAAGGAGGAGCCAGGACCUGGGGAAGAGAACUUGAGGAAGUGGGGAGAGGGGGGGUCUCCUGGCCUUCACCUCCAUCUGGACCAUGUCGAGGAGAGGUUAUCAACCCCGGCCUCCUCUUGACACCUGACAACAGAUGACAGCCAGAGCAACCAAGAGGAUCCACCGAGUGUGGAGUCCACAGACAGCAGAUGGCGUGGACCCUGCUUUUAAAAGAUCUUUCCGUUCAACACCAUCAUCUCAGGUGUAACAGCCCAAGCACAGGGUUUCUCUGUGCAGCCCUGACUGUCCUGGAACUUGCUCAGUAGACCAGGCUGGCCUCAAACUCGGAGAUGGCUUCCUGAGUGCUGGGAUUAAAGGUAUGUUCCACCACUGCCCAGCUAAUCAGCUGACUUUAAAAGAGUGCAUCUUGACUUAACCAGACAGGCCAAUAUAACCUCAACCACCCUUGUUGGCAGAGAAUCGGAGAUAGUAUCAUGAGGAAGAUUCAAGUAGCCAUUGUUAGCUUGAAGAUGAAGAGAUGUGCUAUGGGAAAGCAGGAAGCUUCCAGAUACUGGAAAAGGCAGAACACAGUGGUGACUCCUGCUCCAGCAGACCCUGGUCAUACUGUGAUUUUGGCUCACUGCAUCUCUGUUGGACCUCUGACCUAGAACCGUAAGAAAUUAUGUUGUGUUAGAUUUUUGGUAACUUGUCUUAGCAGGGUUGAGGGAGUGGAGGGGUUGAUGGGAUGGAGAGGGAAGGGACUGACUUAUAUGACCUUUAAGCUUGGCAAAGGAAUACUCAGCUGAUGCCAGUUCUCAGAGGAUUGAGGCAGAGUUGAGUGUUUGAGCCCACCUGAGCUGUACAUCAAGGCCCUGUUUCAAAAUGAAUGAUCUCCAGUGGCUUUUGCACAUAUGUACCUUAACCUAAUUAAAAAAACAAACAAACAAAAAACUAUGUAGUCCCAAUUAUUAAUCCCAAAGUUAUUGGCAAGAUGUCAUUUUUUAUUAUGCUAUAAUCACCCUCUAAAGUCUAUUUUACCUAAACUAUAGAGAUCCUGCGUUAGGUCAUUACAUUUAUGAAAAAUGUGUCCUCACCUAACCUCAUUGGCAAAGCUGGUCCACAGGGGCG